rnacentral:rRNA from 1 species
AUUGAACGCUGGCGGCAGGCCUAACACAUGCAAGUCGAGCGGAGCGGCGGACGGGGGAGUAAUGACUAGAUAUCUGCCUGGUCGUGGGGGAUAACGUCCGGAAACGGGCGCUAAUACUGCAUACUAGCAGAUGAGCCUCGGUCGGAUUAGCUUGUUGGGGGGGUAAAGGCCGACCAAGGCGACGAUGCGUAACGGGUCUGAGAGGAUGAUCAGGCACAAUGGAACUGAGACACGGCCCAGACUCCUACGGGAGGCAGCAGUGGGGAAUAUUGGACAAUGGGCGAAAGCCUGAUCCAGCCAUGCCGCGUGUGUGAAGAAGGUCUUCGGAUUGUAAAGCACUUUAAGUUGGGAGGCGGUACCAACAGAAUAAGCACCGGCUAACUUCGUGCCAGCAGCCGCGGUAAUAC